UAAAGUGUCAAGUUGAGACGCGUUAGCUUUUUUAGAUUUUUAUAAUUUGUGAAUCUGAUGCAACUUUCCGUGUUGUAGUUAAAUUGUAAUUGAUCAGAAGUACUAUCUUCCGGCCAAGCACCUGCUGCGAAGAACAAAAUCGUGGCAAACAUUUGUCUAGCAGUGAAAAAGAGCGUUCUAUUUUUUCCCUGUUCGAACUACGUAGGAAAGCGCUUGGAAAAGUGAAGCGAUUGUGGUGUGGCGGCGACGGCAGAACAGCAGUGCUGCGAGAGAACGCGGGAAUUAGUGCCUGCAUCGAGAACUGUUUUUGACUUACGAAUAGCAAAUAAAGCAAAGCUAUUCCUAGACGCGAAAGUCAAUCGGUGUGACAGAUCAACAUAAACAGAGCGCUGAUUAAACGUUUGCUAUUUUGAGGUUUUGGAGCCAAAACGCCAAAAGAGCGAUUCAAACUAAACUAGGAACUAAGAGCCUGUUCCGUUGCCACAAUGCCUCGAUUGAAGAAAAAGGAACAGCCGGUUACGUCGCCGUCGGACUCGGCUGUUACGUUGACAGCCGGUCGCUCGAGACGUACCAUUAAACCGAAUCGUAAAUAUCUGAACGACAGUGUCGUACUGGCUACCGCUUCCAAGAGUUCGUCUCGUUCGACCAGUCCGGACAGCGACAAUAGUGGCGAUGAGUAUCACCAGGACGUGGACGAUGAAGAAAUUGCACCGAAACCAAGCGCCGGACGAAAAAGCGGAGUUGGCGGUCGAUUGCAAACACCCGCAGCAAAGCCGCGCGGCAGACCGAGAAGGGAUGGAAUUGUGAAAACAGCUUCAAAAACUGAACCGAUCAAAAAUUUGCGCAAGGAGGUAUUGAAAAAGAUGGAUUUAUCUACCCUAAACAUCGGUAAACCAAGAGUAGUUCUUACGCCGAUAACUAAGUUAGAUCUCAAACGCAAAUUGGAUCUGGAUCAAUCAAUUGAGAAAGGUAAACAACCAGUCUUCAAGCCGAAGCCGUCUUCCGUGGAAAAAGUUUCCAAAACGGAAGAAAAAUCCAAAUUGGAAAUCCGACCUCUACGUAAACGGCAACAGGAAAGUCCAGUAGCUCCGGAAAAACCGGACACUUUAAAGAAAGUUAUCAACCCUGUGGCCGUCAAAAAGCAGCAAGUGGAAAAAUCAAUAUUGGUAAAUCGCAGUCGAAAAGAGCCGACUUCCAGUUCCAGUGACGAAAGCGAUGACGAUGUGCAGAUCGUUGGUAUCAGUCGUGAGCCAGAACCUAUGUUGGGGAGAAAGACAGCCAGAAAAAGCCCGUUGGGUUUGAAGCAAAUUUCUCCGGCCACUACCAAGACAGUAAAACCGCUGAUCACGGGCAAACCUACCCCGCCAGUUGCAGUUCUUAACAAGCGGAAAUUAGAAGAAACUGAUGAGGCUAAAGGGGUUAAAAAAAGACUCCUCCCGCCUAAAACAGCUAAGCUGACAAUGCUGGUUGAUUCCGAUGAUGAGGAUGAAGAUGAAGAUGAGGACGAAGAUGAACCAAGCCGCCGUUCAACAAGAUCAAGUUUGCCUUCCGGUAAAAGCUCGGCCACUUCGACUCCUCAAAAUAUUUCUACCGCAAAAACUAAAGAGUCACCGGCUUCAGCUGGUGCUAAACUUGGCAAAAGCUCUGAGCAAUUUAAGACCAACCUUACGAGAACCUCUAGUAUGCCAACACUUGACAAGAGUAAACUUAUCGUGCGACCUACUGUACCGAAGUUGCCCAUGCAAACUUCCGUGCCGAAGUCGUCUGGUUUAAUGAAAUCAACCCCUCAAUUAGCGUCGAAGCCUACGCCAGGCAUGUUGACAGAGAAAAAAAGCAAAUCCGAUUGGAAUCUCAUGGACCCGAUCCGUGCACCUCCUGAGCCAGGAUCGAAGGCACUUGAUAAAGGAAAGUUGAAAAAUGCUACCAUUAGAAUUGUCGAUAUUGGAGAUAUUAUAAAAAACAAAUCCGCCAGCACUCCCGACAUUAACAAAGCUGGUAUUCUCGCCAGAAAGAGUUUACUGAAGGACUCGGACGAUAGUGAAGAUUCUGAUGAAGGACCCCAAACGGAAACGCCAAAAACAAACAACCAACUAGUGGCAUCAAUUCUGGAACGCAAGCGACCCAUCAACUUGGAUCAUUUGCGGCUGAACCGCUCGGCAAAACGAGGGCGUCCUUCCUUGAGUUUGACAAAGACCCAAAGCCCAGACAAAGCAGGUCCGAAGAUCGUGCGCCCAUCCGUCAUUGAGCUGGAAGAAGAUGAAAUAGAUUUUGAGGAUAUGCUGCAAACAAACAUUGUCACGGCGAACACUGUUCAAAAGGGAACGAUACAAAAGAUAAUUCCUGGACGUCGAAAGUCAUCGGUUAUGGCAGAUGAAAAUGCUAAAAGUGGCAGUGGUACUAAGUCUGGUACUGUCAGAACCACUGCAGCUUCCACCAAUAACAAUGUGUACAAAUCCAACAACAACGGUCGGUUCGGUUCUCAGAGUUCUAUUAAUCGGUCUGGUUCUUCCAGCCCGCAGAAAAAUCCACCACGGAUUUUGAACUCUACUAUGAAGCUAGGUGACAGUCGACCAUUCGCGAAGCUAGUGCCGAACAGCGGUGACAAGCACUACUCGAUCGAUUUGACCGAUCCAGACAAUGAUGUGAAAUUGAUCGCGUCCCCUGGAUCACCUACAAUAUCACCGAUAAAGCGAUCACCCUCGAAGGUAGCUCCGCGACCCGUCGUAGCUUCCGGUGGACUUCGAAAUGCAUCCAAUGUCCUUAACAAACCGGUCGGUGGAGCCGUGCAGCGGUCAGUUUCGUCGCUGACGACUUCGGCUGGCAGUAGUCCAAAAAUGAAGAAAAUCACAUGCUACGAGACUUGGUACGUAAUCAACAUCCCGAAUAAUGAGAAUAAACCCGAACGGCCGUCGUUUGCAAUGUCGAUGAUUGGAUUGGGCAACAUUGCUGCGCAAGUUCAGCUUCCGUCGACGGAAUGGUCACAUAAAAUCAUACUGACCAAACGGAAGAUUUCUCCGACUACCGGGGAUGAAGUUUUCAGCGGUGAUGUGGAAGACCGAGCCAUAAGCGAAGACGAAAAGCGAAACUACGAGCCUUGCAAUAUUAUGUUUCGACGAAAAACGGCCGUCCCUGGCAAGUUCAAUCUGCAGUACGAUCGAGCAGUUAUAUUUAAGAACGAUACAUUUUUCAUCAAUGUCGAUGGUAAAAAUUGUCAACUCGUGGGAGCUCCGUCUAAACUGGACGAUACCGAAGACAUUGAAACGUUGUUGGCCGUCGUGGAUUACAUCAAUUUGAAAAACAACUGCGUGGAACUGUCCACAGCCUGAGCCCAAUUGCAGCCGGAAGGUGACCGAUAUCUGUAAAUAGUUUUUUUUACCAAGCAGAACACUCAUCCCCCAAUCCAGGAACCCUGUACGCUCGACCCGUACGUUAAAGCGGAUAAUCCGAACUGACUUUUCGUGACUAGUGGCUUGUGUACACAAGUGUAUCCACCUAGAGGAUAUUGCAUCGCAUGGGCAUGGUAUGAUCUGCAAUUGGGCUGUUUUCUUGAAAAGUGUUAUAAAUUUACUUUAAGUGUAAGAAUUAUACUAAUGUGUUGUAAAAUUGGUCAACAUCAGCAAUCAAGCAUAUUAAGCAAAGCAGAAAUGCUGUGCUAUUCAGCUUCUACAUAUUGGGCUCACGAUACAUACAUACAACAAAAAACUAUUACAUUAAAUUGUAACAUCAAAUAAAACUUUAUUCAGUAUAGUAAUAAAA